GAACCCGGAAGCUAAGCCCCUCUGCGCCGAUGGUACUGCACGGGAGACUGUGUGGGAGAGUAGGUCGCCGCCGGAC
rnacentral:rRNA from 1 species